rnacentral:rRNA from 1 species
AAAAAAAUAGCCCUCCCAUAUCCCUAACCUCAUCCCCACCAUCCCACCCAUCGCCUGCAAUGGAUCCGCCGCCGCCCUGAUCCCGACCAUCCGCCGCCGCUCUCUGCCCCAUCCACCGCCGCUGCUCACCGCAUUCACCCUCUGUUGCAUCCCAGCACCUCCAUAGCCACCGUGGACCAUCUCUCUCCUUGGUCCUCUCUUGGAUCAACAUGCGGUAACGGAUGCUUCCGGUCGCGUGGUGGUGAUGCGGCUGGUCGGGGAACAAGGGCGCUCUGCUCACCUGCGGCAGCGAUGCGUAUGGCAACAACAAUGUCCUUUUGUGCCCCUCCACUCUUCGGACCGCUGAUGCACGGAAGUACGCAGAGAAGAUCACGCUCCGCUUAGCAAAUUCGUCCGUGUUCUAAGUGGCUGCUCGGCAAGAGCUUGUGCCGGAUGUUCAUCAUCAACGCCAGAUAGGGGUUCAGGCUCCUGUUGAACUCAUGGCAUCAGCCAUAUGGACCUGCAUGUAUUUGAUAGUUUGCUCAAUCAGAUUUAUCCCUUCAACCAUAGUUAAGGCUACCACACUACUUCAUUGAGAUUUCUUUCCUACAGGACAUGGAUUUAUAAUCUCCAACAAUACGGUCAUGCUUCUUAUAUUUACUUUCAGUUCUAAAUACAUUUGUGAUUUUCUAUAUGCUGUCUUACUAAACUGUGUGUCCUAAACCAACCAUAUAGUAUAUAGAAAGGAUUUUAAAAUGUUAGCUUAUAUUGCAAAAUCUUGAAAAUAUGCGGUCUUUUUACUGUUUUUUCCGUGAACUUGGGGAGCUUGGGACAGAGUAUGGUGUCAAUAAGCAGUAUAUACCAGGACAAUAUUUUUGUGAUAUUGUAUAUACUAACUUAGUGAUAAUGGAGUGUUUACCACAUUUUUGCCAUGGACUCUAUACUGCAUUUUUGAACUGGUUAGAAUAGCUGACGCCUUUUUUAUCUUCCUUGUGGUAUAUGCUACCAUCAGAGGGAGUAUGUAAGGUACUAAUUUCAAGUAUAUACUAUUGUACUAUAUUUUGUCUAUAUACAUAAACAACCAAGUAGUAUGUGCACUUCUCUUUGUGCAUGGCAGUAUAUACAUCAUUUUUUGUAAGGCAAUAUAUAACACCUUUUUUGUGAACCAGUAUACUACUUUAUUUAGUCAGUACAUAUAUACAUAAUCUUUUAGUCGAUAUAUACUACUGUUCUUGAUAUAAUGGGUAAAGCAGCGCACACAUGACACGCAGCAACCGUUGUCGACUAGACGGUGGUGCCGCUGCAUGGAUCUAUCAGUGCAUGCCACGCCGCCACCGUUUCUUAUUGCUGCCGUUGUCGAUGAGAUUGGCAGUGACGUCGCAUGGGUCGACCAGUGCACACCAUGCUGCCACGUUGUCGAUGAGAUGGUGGUGCCGUCUUAUCCAUCGAUGCUAUGUGACUAGCUUCGUCAAUGGCUUUGCACCUUGAUCCAGAUUGUUUUCAUGCAAAGCAUGUCAUGUUUGCCUCUUAAUGACCACAUCCGCUAAGUCAGCUCUCUCUCUCUCUCUACUACUGCAACUAACUAACUGUGAUGAUCUUCUCCAGGUUUUUUGGCUGGAUACUGAGAUGGCACCAUUGUGCUGCUGAAGUUAAACCCUGUUUAUUGGGACGUACAAGCGGUCGGCAAGCACACAUGGCGGCCAGGGAUAAGACAUAUUUUUCCAAUGACUGCUGCUAGGAUUGAUGUCCUAUUGCCGGAGAAACAAUGGCAACAGUCACACCGUUUUGUCCAGCGAUGAUAUCAUCCAUGUCUAUUAUUUUGUUGACAAUCACCAUAGAGAAAUUUUUCUCGGUGCGGGCACUCAAUUCACGAGCCAAACAUUGAUGCGGGCUACUAUGGGGGCUAGGAAGCAGGAUCAACUUGAAGCCAACUUAAAAUUAAUUCUAGUGAGCAUUUGGUCUUCAUUUUGUCGCGAUGCAAACACAUGAACGUGUGGACUACCAUCCAUUGAUGCGUGGAGACCAGAUAUUCAUGUAUCGGCCUCACGCGUGUCGUUGCUGGAGCCCAUUCAUGGCGAGGAUACAUGGUUGAUGGCCCAACAAUCCUUAUGGGAUGGAAGGAUCCCAUGACUAUAGGAAUGGCACUAAAUAAACUGUGUACUAACUAGAGAAAUGAUUUAUUUCAUAGGUCUAGAAUAUAUAGGCUGACAAGUAUUUGGCAUUCUGUCUUUUUAAUAAGUAGAUGAUUUUUCUACAAUAGUUCCAUGUUCAUAUGUCAUGCUUCUUUGGUGCAAUAGGAAACAAUGCCAUUGAUCGAC